rnacentral:rRNA from 1 species
CCUACGGGGGGCAGCAGUGAGGAAUAUUGGUCAAUGGCCGCAGGGCUGAACCAGCCAAGUCGCGUGAGGGAUGACGGUCCUAUGGAUUGUAAACCUCUUUUGUCAGGGAGCAAAGGGCGCCACGUGUGGCGUUUUGCGAGUACCUGAAGAAAAAGCAUCGGCUAACUCCGUGCCAGCAGCCGCGGUAAUACGGAGGAUGCGAGCGUUAUCCGGAUUUAUUGGGUUUAAAGGGUGCGUAGGCGGAAUGCUAAGUCAGCGGUAAAAUCGGGGGGCUCAACCUCGUUCGGCCGUUGAAAUUGGCGUUU